GCUCUCUUAGCUCAGCUGGAUAGAGCAACUGCCUUCUAAGCAGUGGGUCGCAAGUUCGAAUCUUGCAGAGAGCG
rnacentral:tRNA from 1 species